rnacentral:pre_miRNA from 1 species
CUUCACCAGGGGAAUUUACCAGUCAGGCUCUGGCUAGAUUCCAGCUAGCAGCUGGUACCUGAUCUAGCCAUAGCCUGACAGUAAACUGCUCCAG